AUUGAACGCUGGCGGCAGGCCUAACACAUGCAAGUCGAACGAGUGGCGGACGGGUGAGUAAUGUCUGGGAAACUGCCUGAGGGAGGGGGAUAACUACUGGAAACGGUAGCUAAUACCGCAUACCAUCGGAUGUGCCCAGAUGGGAUUAGCUUGUUGGUGGGGGAACGGCUCACAAAGGCGACGAUCCCUCGCUGGUCUGAGAGGAUGACCAGCCACACGGGAACUGAGACACGGUCCAGACUCCGACGGGAGGCAGCAGUGGGGAAUAUUGCAAAAGGGGCGCAAGCCUGAUACAGCAAUGCCGAGGGUAUGAAGAAGGCCUUCGGGUUGUAAAGUACUUUCAGCGGGGAGGCGUUACCCGCAGAAGAAGCACCGGCUAACUCCGUGCCAGCAGCCGCGGUAAUUC
rnacentral:rRNA from 1 species